UGUAACUUGUGUCAGUGGUGUGCCAAAUGGAACUCACCUACAGUUGACAUUUCUGGAAUGGAGGCAUGGUACGGGCCUUCGAUGAAUUGUGGCGGAUUGUCGUUGAUGUCCUGGACUUUGAUGAUGAACUCAGAAGGUGGCUCCAAGGGCUCGUCUGUAUCGGC